UAUCCAUUGAAUGGGUAGGUUUUCAUUCAUCAGUUUGUCUAUGGUUUCUCGGAUUGGAAUUUUGAUAAAUCAUUGUUCGAUCGAUCUUCAAGAUGUGAAGGAUAUUAGAAAAUCUUUCGGCAAUCAAUCUUAGGGGUAUGUAACCUACUUGAAGGUUUUAUUUCCUAAAACUGUGGUAAAUUCAAGUUAGUAAUCGUUAAUGUAAUUUUGUUACAGCUCGUCCCAAAAUGUGCAUAAUUUAGAGUCUUAGAGCCUACCUAAAAUGGCGGCUGCUAAUCUUUUCUCUUCAAUUUAACAUAACUUGCAAAACCUAAUGUAACGUCAACCACCUCUUCGUUUUGUCACGCGGUCUGCAGGCGCCGUCGUUGGUAUAGGAAAUAAUGGACCCGGCAUAAACCCCGGUAAGUCAUUUAAUCGCUUCAUUGCCGUAAUUUAAAUCGCGCUGUGCCUCAGUUUAAAAUAUAAUUUUUCUAUAAAACUAAACGUGUUAAAACAUAAUUUUUUAACCUAGAACAUUUUCUUUGUUCUUAGGGUUUUUUCUGGACCCUGGUUUUUCCUGGACCCUGGUUUUUCCUGGACCCUGGUUACUCUAAGGCUGUGCCAUCCGGUGGCAGCGUUCUUCUUGGCAGUGUCCGUGAAGUUAAGACUUUUAUGAGAUACCUUUAGUUAAAUAUGGACCCUUUACGCUGAACAGGUAACCUGUAAUCCCUGUGAGCAAUUGCUUACUGCUAAACAUCCCCGGAGGUUGGGGCAAAACUUUUACUUUAGACAGUGUUAUGUUAGGAAGACAAAUUUUGAUAUUGUUGUCCGUAGACACAGAGAUGUCUAUGAUGUAUUUAGUGUAAAUUUCAAGAAAUAGUGGUGUCACUAAGAAGUAUUUAGUAUUACUUAUUUACUAAUAAAUAACUCGUGUUGACCGUAGCGGGUCAUAUAUAUUUAAGGAAUAAAGGUGUAUAUUAAAUAAA